rnacentral:lncRNA from 1 species
UGGCAGUCAGCGUCGCGACGCCCACGAGCAAGCAGCUUGCGGCAAUUCGACGUCAGGUUAAGCAACACGUGGUUUUGCUCGAGUAGAACGUGGCGGAUACGAGAGUAAUUUUUGGGUUUUUGGAUCGGUCCUUUUUUUAAUUCUGGUCAAAAUGCUAAACACGAAAAAGUCCUCGUAACGCGCGAACGAUUUCGGAAAAACCGCGUAUAUUAUACGUUAUUUUUCUACGAUGUGGAACAAAUUGUGUCACAGAAGUAGAAGACGAAAAUUGGUAAAAUUACGCGAAAGGAGAUCGGCUUGAGUGACUUUCGCGUGACGUGUUUGCAGACGAGGAGAUAAAUAGUCAAUGCGAUUUUACUUCUUGGCUAUUGCCAUCAUCGGUAACAGCAGCAGCAGCAGCGACGGGAAUUUCCCAUCAGUGAAAUUUUUUGUGUGUUGUAGAAUACAGAGGUGAAAAGAGAAGGAAAAGAAAGCAAAAACUCGAGCCGAAGGUUGAGAUCGAUUUUAACCAUGUGUAAGUGAAAUGAAAAGCCGGUGAAUAAAAAAAAAAAGGGAGAUUCGAAUCGGCGAGGCACGCGCGAUAAUGAUAAACAUUCAGUUUGCCGAGCGUAAACCUGUUGAAGAAGAAGUGAGCACGUCGAUGCGCUUCGAGAAGACAAGGGGUCGAGGCGGUUGACGAGGGUAGGCGGAAAGAGAAGGCUUCGAUAAGAAGAGGGCAAAGACGAUCGGAGAUAAAGAAAUAACAACGAUGUCGUGCGAGAAGGCGUCGCGACGCCUCAGAUCCUUAAUAGUUAAGGCGAGGAGACUCGGGGUGACGGCUGAGGAAGUCGCGGCUUUACCUACGGCCAGGAAACUCGCUGCGCCAAAGACGGCGAACUUCUGGUCCGUCGGCUUCGCUCUGAUCACGCUACUCGGUGCCGGCAUCCUCCUUAUCCUUAUCUGCGCCCCUUGCCUCGCGAAGAGGGCGGCGCGCGACGUUCGAGUGUUUCCUUAAUAAACGCCACCCUCGAACCCCGCGCCCUCAACCAGAAGGAGAACUUUGACAAGGUUAGACCGCGCAGAUUUGCCGCAGCUCGAAUUUACAAGGGAAGGUUUUGACAGCCUGAAGGCGUACAGUUCCAAAUCCGAGGAUUAUAAUGGAUUGAAAAUUAAUUAAGUGGACCCGUGACAUUUGAUUUAAGGAAUUAUUUACUCUUGUACUAUACUGACUAAGAAAAUUAUAAUGGGAUUAUAAAUUUAUGGGCUGUGCAAAGCCGGUAUGCAAGUUUAUAAUUUAAUUGAAAAAUGUUUAGUACUUUUCGCUUUUCUUCUGCUAUUGUUAUUAUUAUGAGUAUUAUCACCACUAUCGUUAUCAUGUAAAAAAAAAAAGGAACUGUAAUAAAGACUGUAUGUACGUACGUAACAUAUGUAGAAAACGUAAAAUUUAA